rnacentral:rRNA from 1 species
GACGAACGCUGGCGGCGUGCUUAACACAUGCAAGUCGAACGGAAAGGCCCUGCUUUUGUGGGUUUCUCGAGUGGCGAACGGGUGAGUAACACGUGAGUAACCUGCCCUUGACUUUGGGAUAACUUCAGGAAACUGGGGCUAAUACCGGAUAGGAUCUCCUGCUGCAUGUUGUGGGUUGGAAAGUUUCGGCGGUUGGGGAUGUACUCGCGGCUUAUCAGCUUGUUGGUGUGGUAGUUGCUUACCAAGGCUUUGACGGGUAGCCGGCCUGAGAGGGUGACCGGCCACAAUGGGACUGAGAGACGGACCAGAAUCCUACGGGAGGCAGCAGUGGGGAAUAUUGCACAAUGGGCGGAAGCCUGAUGCAGAAACGCCGCGUGCGGGAUGACGGCCUUCGGGUUGUAAACCGCUUUCGCCUGUGACGAAGAGUGAGUGACGGUAAUGGGUAAAGAAGCAACGGCUAACUACGUG